AUCUUUCGUGCUACCUCUCUCUUUCUCUCCGUGCCUUCCACCACCCUCGCCAUUUCCGUUCCCAAGGUUUUUCGAUUGCCAAUUUAUGUGUCUGAAUAUCUGAAGGUCUUGCGUGAUCCAAGCUUUGGUGACACGCGUGGUCAGAAAUAUUUUGUGAGGAUGAAUGGAAAAUUUGGUGGUGGAAGACAGCCGACAGGGACUCCUUCACUGGCUUGGUCCUGUGUGGUUGUUGUCUUCUCUCUUCUUGCAGGUGCUUCUGUUGUUCACAAUAUCUAUAAGCCUAAUCUUACAUUGCCUCCGGUUGAUGGGACCAAGCAGAAAUCUGAUGUGAAAGAAUGAUCAUCUCCCCUGUCAAUUUCUUUUAAUAUAGUGAGAUACCAAGCUUCAGGGCUUAAAAUAAUAGCACCAGCAUCAAUGGUGGCUUUGCGCUGAGGAUCACUGAAAUAUGCAGGUACAGUAAUAACCACUGCAUUCUUCACAGGUUUUUCCAAGUAUGCCUAUGCAAUGUUCAGCAUUUUGAGAGGACCAUGGAUGAUACUUCUUCGGCACAAAGGUUCUUCUCCUGACCCUUGUAACUUGUACUUGACAGAAAUCAUGAAUUUGUCAUUAAAACCAGCAACAACCUUAAAUGGCUACAACAUUUUAUCUUUUUGAAAAAGAGAGGGCCACUGUAUUUCCUACCGAUCAAUCUCUUAGCAACUGCAAGAGUUACAAAAAAUAUUUUGGUAGUCUAUUUUUACUGCUAAAAGUUUACAGGAAAAUGAUUCAAAGGAAAAAAAAAAACAGUAAUAGUUUAAGAGUAAAAAUAUACCGAAGAUGUUCUCUGGAUUAGUAGCCAUCUGAUUU